rnacentral:tmRNA from 1 species
GGGACUGAAAGGAUUUCUACAUAUUAAUAUUUUAGUUAUUUUUUAUUUAACUUAUCAAAUUUAUUAAUUUUUUGUAUAUUUAAUUUAUUUAUUAGCAUAAUAAAUGUUGAAUAUAUGAAUAAUAAUAGUAGUUUAAUUGCAAAACACAACAUUAUCUCUUUUUCUAAAAAUUUAUCAAUAGCAUAAAUUAUUAGAAUCUUAAAUUUUAUUUUCUUGCUUCAAUUUAUGAAUUUAUUUAGAGAAUGCUCUAAUUGUGAAGUAUAAUUUUAGUUUGUAUUAUUAUUCAUUUCUUAAUUAGUAAAGUAUAAAAAAUUUUAAUUUACAGGUUUAGUUAAGAUGUUUUAGUUGAAUAUUCAUAAACUAAUUAUUAUAUUUAUAUGGACGUGGGUUCAAAUCCCACCAGUUCCA